AGCGCAUGCGUGAAGCUUUCCGCUGAGCCGCCAUUGAGGGGCAUUGACUCAGUGAGUGGAAGAGAUUUGUUUGAAACAGGCCGCAAUGGAGAGACCAGCGCCCAGGGAAGCGAGGGAACAGCAGGCUCCUUCCAGCAGCGCAUCGAGAUGCAAUUAUCUGUUGUGCCAAGACAAUGUCACAUUUCCGUGGUGCAACACCAAGUGUGACUAGCUGCUCCUACUAACAGCAGGCAAAUACAUGAAGGACCAAGACAAAGUAUCAUUUCCUUGGUGCAAAGCCAAGUGUGAGCAGCUGCUUCUCACAAACAGCAGGUAUGUUACCGCUGUCAGAAUGCAUCAUUUCCACAGGCAAAGAGCAGUUUGAGUCAGAGACACGUUGAACUCAAUUUCCAGAGAAAUGCAUUCAAGCCAACAGUCAAAUACAAGCAACGAAAUACAAGUAGUUUGUUUUCUCUCUUCCCAAUGCACACCUCCUCGGUUGCUAUAAUUUUCUUCAUUCAUAGCCUACUGACAUUUAUGACAUUUUUGAAAAGUCACAGACUGAAUCCUCAUCUGAUACGGACACCGAGGAACUGCAGUAAAUCUGCAUUUAGUAAGCAGGUUUUUAAAAUUACUGUCAAGGUGAAGAAAUAGUUCAUGCAGUUACACAGUUACUUUGCACAGUGUGAGUACAGAUAUGGAAGAAAACAUUCACAUUAUCAGUAACUGAUCAGGACUGUGUCUAUGUUUUGACAAAUUGAUGUCCCAGGCAUAGAGAGAACAAUUAAAUAAUGUGACUUCCAAAUGUGUGACAUAAAAUGGCUACUGAGAGCACAUAACAUAAACUGCACAUGUGUACACACGCACACGCACGCACACCAACCUACCGAGUGAUUUACAAUGUAUUCCAAAUACACACGUGCACCGUUCCAACACACAUUCCUCAACAUCUAAUAGCCAU